UUGUCUUGAGCAUUUGUUUUCUGCAGCUAUUAAUGAGUGUAUUAUUGAGCAUCAAGAACUCGAUAAAUGAAAGCCCAUAUUAAUGCACAAGUGAAAAUUUACAUUUCCCAACAGAAUCUAGAAAUGUUAUCUACCCAUACAAACGAGCAUAUCUAACUAAACAGAAUCUUAUGAAUGAUUGGACCAUGAGUUAGCUGUAGUUUAUCAGCAGAAAGGUUUAAGCAAGCCGAUGUUUAAUAUGACCACUUGGCAGAAGAUAAAAAUACGUUAUCCGAGCAAAGCUGUAAGCACAUAAGCGCUUGUUCAAAAAAUAUGUUAAAGCGCUCACCUCAGAUACUCUUCUCUCAAUAG
rnacentral:misc_RNA from 1 species